ACUGCCAGCGAGCACCAGGAGCCAGGAGAGGCACGGGACUCAUUCUCAUCCCACAGAAAGGAUGAACUUUGCCCACCCCCUGGUCUCAGAUCUGGCUCUCACAACUGUCAGGGACUAAGCUUCUGUUGUUUCCCACCCAGUUUGUGACACUUUGUGACAGCCGCUCUAGGACACAAAUACACAUCCUUUAAACGGGGGUCCGAGGCAGCAAGGCCCCACAUAGUAAAUGUCACCAUGUAACAUCCUUCUGUUUAGCAUCAUUUGAAUGCAUUUUUAAAGGAAGUCCCGUGCAGAGUGAACAAUUAGGCAAGUUUUACUCAAAAAAGGUUGCUCAGUGAAGCCCACAUAUGAACUUUCCAGGGAUGAAGCAGUGGGGGAGACUGAGGGCAUACAGGGAUCUGGAGACCCUGCAAUGGAGUGAUGGCCCAGCAGUUUGUGGGCUCAUCCUUAAAUCCCUGCAAUCUGGAUUCUCAGAUGAGGUCUAGAGAAUGGAGAUAUGCCUCGAGGACCAGUGAGCAGAAAGAUACCUCCUGGCUUCUGCAGAAGACCAGGAAAGGGAAGGGCUGAGCUGGUGAAGAAUAUUCCAAGCAGCUGAGGUCUGGCCAGAUCUAUAGAAAAUAUUUGGAAAAGAGAAGAGACUAACACCAGCUCCUUAACACCAACCUGGCACGUGGCGGAUGCUCAGUAGACAUCUUUGAAUGUGGAGUGAAGGAGCUUACCGACUUGGCCUUGACCUCACCUGCUGUACCCUGUCCUUGCUGGGCCACGCACCUCCCAUCCCAGCCACAGUAAAGGUCACACCCUCUGCAGAGAGCCGGGAUCCUCACAGCCCCAACUCCGUGCCGGCAGGGGCUUUCUCUUUCCUUUGUAGUCCUAUUUCCUCUCUAAGACAUGCCUGCACAUGUCAGUCACCUUUGAUGUAAAUUGCGC